GAAAUGCGAUAAGUAAUGUGAAUUGCAGAUACCGUGAAUCAUCAAAUCUUUGAACGCACAUUGCACUGCCUGGAACUCCGGGCAGUAUACCUGUUUGAGCAUCAGUAACGCUCUCACGCUACAUUGUGUAGCGGGAGGAAGUGAGUGUUCACGCAGCGAUGCGUGUUGCUUUAAAUAAAAUGGGUAGGAGCUCCCGAGUUAAUAGGCGUCUGCCUGUUGCUGUAGCUCCGUCCAUAACAACAAAAACAGAUCUCAAAUCAGGUAAGACCACCCGCUGAACUUAA
rnacentral:misc_RNA from 1 species